CAAGUAUUUCCCAGAUAAAAUACUUCUAACAUAGUAAAGGUAACGAAUGGUUGCACCCCUGUAUGAUGGUGGCAUGGUGCUUGGUAGAAUUGUUCGCACCAUAAAUUUUCUGGAGCUACCGGCGGAGACAAUCUGAUUUGAUAUUAAUGCAGGAGCCAAAUUAUCCAUAAAAACAUACUCUCCUCUGCGUUUCUUAAAAUCAGGAGAAGGUUUAGUAGUAGAGAACCACUGAGUAUCCAAUUUCUCGAUCCCUUUCAUUUCAAAACCAAGUUUUUCAAUAAGCAAAGAAGAAGAAGUCGUUGGGUUCUUGAUUUCAAUAGUAAUGGUUAUCGGAUCACCCGGUCUAUACACUUCUCUAUCCGGUUCCAGCUUCAGCUGGGGUUGUUGUAGAUCCGUCGCAUUGGAUCUUCUUCCACUGACACUGCCUCCGCCGCCACCACCGCCGCCGAUGCCGGCAGUGAUGUUAAAGAAGGAGAAAACACGGGAAGGUUUAUUCGG
rnacentral:misc_RNA from 1 species